rnacentral:snRNA from 1 species
GUUCUUCUCAGUUUAAUACCUGGGACGGAAACGAUUCGUUUCCUCUAUGUAUUAAUCGGAUUUUUGAACUUGGAGUAUGGUGCUGGAGCUUGCUCCACCCUGCUCACGGGUUGUCCUGGUAUUGCAGUACCUCCAGGUUCGGCUCACGUUUC